UUUAUUAUUGCUGUGUGGAUACUCAAAAAGUCACAUCCCCACCGUGCGAAGGCAGUGCUACAGGGGCGAGGAAACAGUCGAAACAUUCUUCCUUCGGCACAAGAGGUUUCUUAGUUUUCUCCACCUGCCAGCGCAGACCUGCAUAUAUUAUUUAUUAUUCAUCCCACCUCGUUGCGGUUUUUGAAGCGAAUCCUUUGCAUUCCAAAUUUAAUCCUUUGUUUAUUUUCAGCUAGAGGACUUGAAUUUGUGUUGUGUCAAUAAUGAUGCAAAGACUCUCCAAACUGCAAUUUAUUGCUGGACUAAAACCAUUGGUUUCCUGCCCGCUUUAUUGAGUUUAUUACGAGCAUCUAUUUGGACAUACUUUUACCCCAAGCAUCUUACACAGCGCAGAAAGAUGAAGGAAAGGCAAACCUCGAUGUGCUAUAUAAAAUCUCGCAUCAAGAUAAUUAAGAAAUAAGAAAUAAAAAAUUAAAAAUUAAAAGUCCGCAAAGAAAUAACCCGAUCCAUUAUCAAAAGUUUCAACACGAAAAUCGAGGCCCGUCUCCUAUUCCUCCCACGCAAUGUACUGAAAUCUCACUCCCACUGCGAUCCUUCUGAUUGGACGAUAUGAACAGUACCUGCAGCAACACAGUUUUCAAUUCAUGCAGCUUGGUAGCCCACAGCCCCCACAUGAAGCAAGGUUUUUCCAGCCAGACAGCAUUGCCGGCGGUUCGGAAGAACAUUCGUCACAGCAUCCCGGGAAGUAUUGCACUCUAGAGGCAAGGAAACCCCAUUAAAACUACAUACACUAGUCAUGUCUCAUACAUAUCCCACACAUCUUCAAAUGCA
rnacentral:sRNA from 2 species